rnacentral:lncRNA from 1 species
UUACGUUUUAAUGGGGUCACAGCAAACUUUAUAUUGUUCCCGUUUUCAAGGCAUUGCAUAAGAAUUUUGGCAAAAACACAAGAGAAAAUGUUUCCCAAGCCUGAAGAAAUAAAUAAUGCUUCUUUUAAAAAUCCAUAAAUCCCUGCUCUUUCUUCAAAACCAAGAACUACAGGGCGUUAAGGGAUUCAAGUUUAUUGAAGUGAAGCCCAAAUACCUGUCCAUGAGCUGUUCUCUUGGCAGUGUUGGUGGAAGAGUUGCAUCGAAUUUUCCUCCCCAAUUGAAUUGGCCACCGGAAUAUUUUUUUAACCACAUCCUGAAACCAACUACCAGGUUAUCGGAUUUUGUUGGCACAAAACAAGCUUUCUGCCAAUUAGCAGGGCCAACAGCCAUUAUCUUUCGCUCCUGCAGGGAGAAACCAAAGUCAGGUAACAAUAUGUUGCAGAGAAUUUUAUUCGCGGCUAGAAACAACGGAGAAGCUAUUCAUUUCUUUUAUCGUAGGAAAGUAGUAUUUAAAUCAACAAAGUGUUAUUUUAAUCAACACUUUCUAUUGAGAAGAAAAACAAAAAUAUGCUUUUCGGAUGGUGUCACAAUCAAUCUAGUAAAAUGAAAUGGUUGACGAGUCUAAUAUCUGAGUUUGAGGCCUAGACUGGAGGAGCAGGGGUUGUUUGAUUUUUUUUUUCUCAGUUUGAAUCUUAAUUGUUUUAUGAUAUUUACUGUCUUUUUUUUAUUACUUAUAUCUAAUUAUAAGAUGUUUAGAUCUAAAUACAAAAAGUUAAAUACUACAACUUUUAUCUAAAUUGUAAAAUAUUUAAAUGUAAUUUUAAUAUUCUCUCUCGUUAAUAUUCAUAUUAAAUAAAUUUAUUCCCUAUCAUAUAAAUAAUUUUAUUAUUUUUUAUUUACCUUUUUUUGGUUAUAUACAUGUAUUCAACUAUAUAUAUAUAUAUAUAUAUAUAUAUAUAUAUAUUGUGAAUUAGAAUUUUGAACAUAAUCGAACUUUAGAUGAGUGUGUUUUAUAAUAGACCUAUCCAGGGGCGGAUCUAGCAUGUGACUAGUGGGGGCUUGAGCCCCCACUGGCAAAAUAAAAAAUUAAAAUUUAAAAAAAAAAUAUUUUAGUUUUUUAAUUAGCCCCCAUAAAAAAUUAAUUAAAAUAAUCACUAUAAAUUAUAAAUCUCCAUAAAAUUUAAAUUUGAACUUUUAAGAAUUAUAAAAACUUAUAGUUUAAUUAAAAAUAAUGAUAGUCCACCACUCAAAAUAUUUUCAAUUCUAAAAAAUAGGAUUAAUUCUUCCAGUCUCUAUAAUAAUACUAGAGCGAACAUUUUCAGUAAUGAAACUCAUGAAAAAUCAUUUUUGGAAUCAUAUGGGAUAAAUGAUAGUUUGAUUGUUUAUAUACGAAACAAUAAAUUUAAUAAUAUUGAUAAUGAGUCAAUUGUAUAACAUUUUUAAAAUAUAAAAAUGCGCAGAGAAUAAUUAUAAAUGUACUAGCAAAUAUUUUAUAUAUUUAAAAUUUUAAUUUUUCAUAUUUUAUUAUUAUCUAAUUUAGCCCCCGGUAAAUUAUUUUUUUAAAUCCGUCACUGGACCUAUCUCUUGGUAUUUAUAUUUGCCAUUUUUAUAAUAGAUUUUGAAUUUUAUUUAAUACAUUAAAUUUAAUUCAAAUGAUUAAACAAUCUUUAAUUGACAUAUGUAAUUAAAAAAAUCAAUAUAAUAUACUAAAAAUAACAACAUAAGUAUCAUAUAUUGUGUGUUAGAUACAUAUUUUAUUUUUCGUGCUCUGUUAAGGAAAACAUUAUUAAAUUUUUUUUACUAAUCAAAUAAUUUAUUUACAACUUGUCAUGUGUUUAAUAAAAAAAAAUAUAAGUAUUGUUAAUAUUUAUGAUGUUAUAUAUUUCAAAAUAUCAUAUUUUAUUUAUUUAUUUAUUUAUUGAACUGGGGCUCUAAAAAGAGCUAAAGAAGAACAGAACGGGGGUGAGAAACCCCGUAAAAGUUAUGAAGCAAAAGAGACCUAACACCUAAAGGUGGGGCAGUGUACACAAGAAGGCCAAAAGGAAGAGAAAAAGUGAGGUUCGCCAUAUAAUCUACAACGAAAUUGGCUUCUCUAUAGAUAUAGAAGAUGUCAUUUUUUUUUUUAAUAACACUUAUAUUCAUAUAUCAAAAUAAGAAAAAUAAACAUGUUAUUCAUAUAUAUAUAUAUAUAUAUAUAGAGAGAGAGAGAGAUUUAUUCACUCAUUGAAAUUUCAGACAAAAUAAAUAAAUGCUACCUAGCACUCCAAUUUAACGCCAAUCCACCCGGCAUGUUCCAAAAACUUUAGAUUAAAAUUAUUUUAGCAUACAGAGAUAGGAAUCACCUCAACGUGAAGCAGGCAUAAAUCUGAAUCCAGAAUUAGGUUCUGUCCAAUAUGAAAUAUCCACCGCGGAACAACUUUGUCUAUCCAAAUCUGGAAGUUUCUUGGGAAGGCCCAGAUUACUCUGCUGUUACCCGGACUUACUGGAGCACAAAUAAAAAUCAUAGCUACUCUUCGUUGCUUCAGCUUCUGCACCGAUCGAAAUUUAUAUGGACAAACAAUGCGGGAGCAACAUAGAAUAGGGAGUGAAAAGAGUGCAAAAUUCUAUCCGUCAGCUGAGCAUUACGAAACAUAUUGACUCUUACCUCUUCGGCUCCUCCCGAUGAUGCAGAUCCAUUUUCCUGAUUCUCCAGAAGAUCAAAAUAAACAACAAAGACACAAGGUGCCAAAAAUUUGGCACUUUCCGAAUCCUGCUUUGCAAUGAAACCAUUUAUGUCUAUUUUCUCGAAACUUAUUUUGAUUGGUCUUCCCCCUUCUCUAUCGAGCAUCACUGUAAAGAAAAUUUAGCAUUAGCUAAUGGGUUUUAUUAAUAUAGUUGACGUAAACGUAAAACAAGGUUUAUCCAGGAAUUUAUCAACCUUUGGGUUUCCUCGUACGCAUCAUUCCGUAAUGUGCAUAUGUAAGAUGAGCAGGAUCCAUAAGAUUUUCCAUUAGGACCUCAUAUCUGAAAAUGCAAUUUACUUACACUUAGAAAAAGCUGUUAACUUGCAUUUACCCGGCUGUCAUUACACUUGAGUUCAACUAGUUUUCUUAAUGAUUGUUGCCAAAUAUCAAUAUGGUACAAAUUCAAACUGGAAUUUCAAAUUAAAAAUGGAAAACCGGAUCACUGCAUACCCAUAAGGAACAUCCCUGCUUCCAAACAUUUUUGUAAAUGACGGGUCAUCGAGUUCCGGGAUGUGAGGAGGUUUCUUAGUCUUGAUAAUAUCCUUGCACUGAGGAGCAAUAUCUGGCCAAAACCAUAGGAUGCCAUUCUGUACGGCACUUGGAUAAACAGCUGCACAUGCUUUCUUGGAUGUGUGGACCUGCGUAUUUUGAUAAAUAAGUCAGUAAAAAUUAAAGCAAUCAGCCACCCAGCAAAGUAGAAUUCUUAACAACUUCUGCAUGCAAGAACGAAAAUCAAUACUAGAUUGCAGAAAAAUCACUACAAAAUUUUAUCAAGCAGGAAAUGGAAUCAUAACUCAUGUAUUCUGCUUAUCUUUCGUUGUUUCCUCACAAUCAAACUGAAGACGAGAGGUGUGGUGGCUUUAUCAAACAUUAAAUUAGCUACAGUUCUUUCAGAAUUAAACGUAUCCCAUUGGAAUUAGGCCCUUGACCUAUUUUAUUACUUCCAGUCUUUUAGUCCUUCAGGGAAUCUAAUUAGACCAAAAUAUAGCAAGGAAGUAGCAUCUCACUCUAGACGUAAUCAAGAAAACCGCAAAAGCAUACAUAGCAGCAUAAAAAAUAAUAAAACAUAUGAAUGUGAUGCAAAAGUGAAGCAAUCGAUGUUACCGGGGGGCCGUCUGGGGGAGCCUGAGGGAUAAAUUUACAGUCACCCGAGCCACUGAAGCACCAGCCAUGAUACGGACACUGAAGCCGUCCCCAUUGAUCAAUUCUUCCUUCUGACAAAGGAGCCAAUCUGUGAGGACAAGCAUCGGCAAAGACUCUCCAUUCAUUCUCAUUCCUGUCCCACCAAACCACGACAUCAAGCCCCAACACUUUCUUUGCAUGGGGGACUCUCUUGUCCAAAUCACACACCGGCAUCAAUGGAUACCACUGUGAGAACCAAUCAAAUUUUUCCUCUUGUGAGUUAGUUUCAGGCUCUGUCUCUGGUGGGUCUGUGGCUUCAGUUGAAACUUGAGAUGAUGGUGAUAAGGUGGUGAAGAGUUUGGAUGGUUUUGAUGAGAAAGAUGAUAAAGUGGAUAGUGGACUGAAGUGGAAGCUUAAGAGCUUGGGCUUAGCAGUGAAGUGGGUUCUGUUGUACUUAAGUUUUAAUGGAGUGUUAUAAAAUGGUGAAACUGAGGAGAGUAAGAGAGCUUCCAUGGCUGCAUGCAACACCUUACUCUGCACAAAAAUCGAGAUCAAGCAAGGUUAGAACUCGAGAUAAUUAUAGCUAAUUGCGAAUGAACGUGCGCCACAUGAGUCAUGAUCAGUGGACUCUGACCGUGACGCUGAAAAGUCCAACAUAAAUUAAUGCGUCUCUUAUGUUUGUGUCUUUCAUUUCAUUUCCUUGUAGUUGAAUCAGUCAACAUUUGUUGAGUCCAACUGAAUAAGUCAGGAGUCGUUGAGUGAUUUAAUAGCGCUAUACAAGUAGUGUGAAUGGAUGCCACAAAAUUAUUCAAUAGCUAAGCCGUUUUAUUUGACUGCUACGGGGGCCAAGGCUCCUCACUAUGCUAAACAGCCUCCGUAGAUUAUCUGCCAUCGAAAAUUCGCCGGAAAAAAAGAGAACGUCCCCUCAGUACCAGAUUCAAUUUUUAUUUGUUCAUGUAUGAGGAUAAUGAGAUGAGUUGGCUAGCUUUUGCAAAAUAUUUGUAGAGUAAUUGUUAAGGUCAAAAUUAUGUUUUAGGAUUUCUUUUUUUUUAUUAUUAUUAUUUGAAAAUUGGAAUUUUAUUUAAGAAAAAAGCAUAAUUUUAUCAAAUUAUAAUUAUGUUUGUGUAAGGCGACGCAUUUACUCGAUUUAUAAGUUUUGUUGAAUUUUUAUUAAUUUUCUUUUGGCACUUUAAAACAAACAUUUUACAUUUUUUUUUUAUAUUUUGUAAUAUUUAUGGAAAACAUUCUGUAUGAAGAACAUUUUUGCAUCUCUUUACUAGCGUACAUGCAUUAUUCAUGGUUAAGUUACACCUAAAUUAAUGGGUGAAUUGCAUUUUUCCUUGAGAAUUAAUAUUAGACAUGCAAAAUUAUGAACUUUUUAAUUUUAUGGGCAACAAUGUUGACUAUAUAAAUGAGAUGGUUUUUAGUUACAACUAAAUGAAUUAUUUUGGAAGCGUAUGUUUAACUAAUUAGACUAAAAUUAAUUUCAAAAAUAAAAACUUGACUUGUUUUGGUCAAAAUUGACUAAAAUUAAUUUCUAUUAUCUUAGUCAUGUAGGACAUGCAUAAGAUAAUGGACUAUUUUUACUAUAAAUUAUGUUGAAAUAAUGUAUCGUAUGUGUUAAGUCACCGACCAUAUUAAGUAGUUAAUGAUACGAUUCAACAUUACUAGUAAUAUCAUGGUAAAUGAAAAUAUCACCUAAUAAUUAAAGUUUUAAAUUCCUCUCAGAAAUUAAAAAAAAAAUUGAAUUAGCAGGUGUGACUUUUCUUUUGAAAUGACAUUACAUGAACUAGCAUUGCUAAUCAAAACAUAUCAUAAAUUGAAAUAAAUUUCUUUUCUUUUUUUUUCUUCUCUAUAACUUUUGCUCAUUUACAUUGAAGACCCAAAUAGUCGCUGGUGUGGGCUCGGCUGCGGAGCCCACGCCAGAUUUUGGAUAGAAAUCAUCAAAGGCUAAAAGUAGACCAUCUCAUUUGUCAAUUUCCACCAUUUUCUUAAGUAAAUAUAUACUUUGUAUCAUUAGUAAUGUGUCAUUAGCAAUUAAUUGACAUGUCUUAGCCUCUUAGGCGCCAAUUGGUUUUAGCUUUCAUUAUUGAUAAGAUAAUAUUACAUCACCAAUUAAAUGUUGACACAUCAUUGUUCAUAUCAUUUGGGGUGUAAAUUAUUUAUUCCAAUUGUAUAUUUGUAGCAUAACUCUUUCUUAUAUACACCUACUUAGAAGUUCUUUAAUCUAUUUUUUUCUUAUAUCUUCAAGCAAGAAUAUUAAAAGGACAUUGUCGUUGGAUUUCGAUUCAUGCUUUUACAGUCUUCUAGUAAAGAAAAAAGAUCGAGAAAAGAUAAUGGAAAUUUAUAUAUCAACAGCCAAUUGAAUAAGGAAUGAGAUCAACUAAAAAAAAACAGUAGCAGAAGUAGUCCAAUAACUAUUUUAUAAAUUUAGGAAAAGAAUAAAAUGUAUAUAGACUCAUCUUCCCUUUAAAAUACUUGUUUGGUAUAAUUUAUCUAACGGCUAUAAGUACUUAUUUAAUUUUAUAAGCUCUUUUUAAAUUAGUUAUUAGUGUUUUUUUAGUUGAUCUUUUUGAGUUCAAAUAAGUUAAUUUGUCUCCAUUAACAAAAUCUGGAAUUUGAGCUUUUAUGAAUGAAGAUUAAAGAACUUUUAAAUAUAUAUAUCAACAAUACCUGAAGAACAUUUCAUUAAUUACAUAAUACCCUUAUUUAUAUAUAAAACCUACAUAAUAACAAUUAAUUGCCACCAUUUGAUAAAAAACUAAUUGCUGCUACUUCUUUUUUUUUUUUUUUAUUCUAAUGAGAUUGCUACUGCUUUACUUAUUUUAUAAAAAACCUUACACAAAAUAAAUUAUUGCCAUCAUUUGAUAGAAAACUCAUUGUCACAACUUUGGUGAGGUGCAUAGCAGGUAUCGAUGUUUCCCUCAUCACUGUUAAAAUAAAUCUAGUUUAUUAGAAAUAUGAUGAACACAUUUCACUAUGCUACUAUUUGAUAUUUGAUACUUGCUACAGUUUUCAUUCUUCUUUUUAUUAUCUUAUUCAAGAAUGCAUGCCAAUUAUUAAUUUAUAUUUGAAAUUCAUUUCAUCUUCAUUUUAUUUGUGCAUUAUGUUUUUCAUGUAAUAAUAUUACAUAUCCUUUGUCUAGAAUCGUAACUGUUGCAAAGGAAAAGUAAAUCAAAGGCAGAUUGGGAUGAUGUUACCACUGGUGCUUUUAUUAAGAUUUGUAUGAGUGAGACAUUAGCUUGGAAUCAAACCAAAUAGUCACUUUAAUAUGAUUGGGUGGAAAAGUCUCGUUGCUAAUUUUUAUUCUAUGACCAAUGGAGAUUAUGAAUAGAAACAUUGAAAAAUAAGUGGGACAUCCUAAAAUAGAUUGGCAACUUUGGACAAACUUGCUGAGAAUGAAAUUGGUUUAGGAUGGGAUGUUGUAAAACAGACAAAUACUACUAGCGAUGACUGAUGGGAGAGAGGAUUGAAGUUGCAAAUUCUAACCUUCUUAUUUUUUGGUGUACUAGGAAAUGAUUUUAGGAGCAAUUUAGACAUAUUUUUUAACGCAUAAUCCUUUUGUAUUAUUGUAGGAGAUUCUCAAAACAAUUAAAAUUCGUUAUAAAGGCUUGAGAAAUGUUGACCAAUUAGAAAUUUUGUUUAAAGAUAUUGUUGCGCCAUCUAUGGGUUUUGUACCAAAUGAUGGUGAUAUUUAACCAUCUAAUUAAUAUGCUAGUAAAUAUAAUAAUACAUAUUUUUAGGAGAAGAAUGUCAAUAUUGAACUAACUAAUUUUGAUGGGUUAGAAAAUAUUGAGACUACACAUGAUAACGGAAGGAAAAGAAAAUUAUCAAUUGGAGUAAAUUAGUGUGUAAUGAGUUAGACUUUUGCAAAAAUUUUGUAGAGUAAUUAUUAAGGUCACAAUUUUGUUUUGGGAUUUCUUUUUUUAAUUAUUUAAACAAUGGAAUUUUAUUUAAGAAAGGUAUAAUUUUAUCAACCUGGGUGUUAGGAACUUUUUUUAAUAGAAUAUGUGUUAGGAUUCUAAUUAUAUGAAGUAGUGAAAUUCUAAUCUUAUGAAAUUAUUGAAAAACAAAACAACUAAUUCUUUAAAUUGUGGAUUGAUUUCUCGCAAUUGAUUCAAAUUAGCCUUUUAUAUUCAUGGCGUAUGACACUGUGUCCAAAUCACCCACCAACAUCACUAGAUACCAUUGUGAAAACUAGUAAAAAUGUUCUUCUUGUGUUCAUUCUGAAGCCGUGGUUCAGUUGUGUAUACGUUUUCUCUUGCAAUUGUUAAUGGUGAUGAUAAUGUACUUACAAUUACAACUGCUAAUGGUGAUGAUAAUUAUAUGUUUUCUAUUACAACUGCACUUUCUAAUUUCACUUGAUCAAAAUGUUUGCAUACAAGCUACAUUCCAGUAUUUACGUACAGAAAAAUAAGUUGUAUUUACAUAUUCUAAUUUUCGACGUUAAAUGCUAAGCUCAGCGAAGGGCAUGAUUGUAGUCAUGAUAAUGAAAGGUUUUGUAGAUGAAGUGAGACAACCAUUUUGAAGCCGCAAAGCAGAUUACUGCAAAUGAGAUGAUUGUAGUUCUUGUAGCCAUUGACAUGGCAUUCUGCUUGGUUGUAGCAACAAUCCCAAUUGAAGCAAUGGAGACGACUUGUAGCGUGACCUCAAGUGCGCUGAGACUCUUGUGUGCCGCAUUGCAACUUUUGCAAUUCACCACAUGAGACCAGUACCUGCAAAUUUGAAUAAAAUUCCUUUAAUUAAGUACGAAAUCUUAUGUUUUAAUGGGGUCACAACAAACUUCACAGUGUUCCCGUUUUCAAGGCAUUGCAUAAGAAAUUUGGCAAAACACAAAAGAAAAUGUUUCUCAAGCUUGAAGAAACAAAUAAUGCUUCUUUUAAAUAUCCAUAAACCUCUGCUCUUUAUAUGAGUUUCAAAACUGGGAACUACUGUAAAAUCCCAUGACAUGGUGUUAAGGGGUUCAAGUUUAUAAAAGUGAAGCCCAG